rnacentral:pre_miRNA from 1 species
GAGGUACUCCCUUCGUUCGGAAUUACUUGUCGUAGAAAUGGAUGUACUAGGCAUUUUUUAGUUCUAAAUACAUUCAUUUCUGCGACAAGUAAUUCGGGACGGAGGGAGUAUUUA